UAAUAUCUUCAGGGCAGGGUGCGAUUCCCUACCGGCGGUAAUGUACUAUUUAGUAUUAGCCCGCGAGCGUUUUGCAGACAUGGUGUGAUUCCAUGGCCGACAGUACAGUCUGGAUGAAAGAAGAAACAG
rnacentral:ncRNA from 2 species